rnacentral:rRNA from 1 species
GACAGAGGUGCCGAGCGUUAGGCGGAAUCACUGGGCUUAAAGCGUGUGUAGGCGGAUCGUUAAGUGUCUUGUGAAAUCCCACGGCUCAACCGUGGAAUGGCUGGGCAUACUGGCGAUCUUGAGCGGGGUAGGGGCAGAUGGAACAAGUGGUGGAGCGGUGAAAUGCGUAGAUAUCACUUGGAACGCCGAAGGUGAAAACAGUCUGCUGGGGGCCUGCUGACGCUGAGACACGAAAGCCAGGGGAGCGAACGGG